ACAGCAGUAGCCGCGGUAAUACGAAGGGUGCAAGCGUUAAUCGGAAUUACUGGGCGUAAAGCGUGCGUAGGUGGUUCGUUAAGUCUGUUGUGAAAGCCCCGGGCUCAACCUGGGAAUGGCAAUGGAUACUGGCGAGCUAGAGUGUGUCAGAAGAUGGUGGAAUUCCCGGUGUAGCGGUGAAAUGCGUAGAGAUCGGGAGGAACAUCAGUGGCGAAGGCGGCCAUCUGGGACAACACUGACGCUGAGGCACGAAAGCGUGGGGAGCAAACAGGAUUAGAUACCCCCGUAGUCCCUGUCUCUUAUAC
rnacentral:rRNA from 1 species